rnacentral:lncRNA from 1 species
UUCUCUAUCCUUAUACCAAAAUACCUGAAAAUCCGAAAUAACCUACCCGAAUCCGAACGGGUAUCCGAACACCGACUCCAAAUACUGCAUGUAAAGUUCCUAAACAAAUUCACAAAACUUAUUGAUAACUUUUACCGGGGAUCCUCGAUUCCUCAUGAAUGCUAUCAAGCCUGUGAUAGUACUCAUGCAUUUCCUUAUCAACAUUUAUUGAAAGGCGUACUUUGUAUUUGAUGUCUCGCACUCGAAUUUAAUGCGUUAUUUUAAUGGCCAGUUCAAAUUUAUGGUAGAUUUUGAAAAUUUCGACAAGAAUACAAAACUCAAGGGUCUUUAGUUGCAUCAUGUAAGAGAGGAUUAAAUUUCUCUAGAUUCACUUUAAAUCGGAUUUGAGUACUCCGCCAGCAAAAGGAGCUGCCAGUCUGCGGAAAAUGUAAGGUCUUAGUCACCGUAGACUUCUUUGAUAAUCCCUAAACGAAAUAUCUAUGAUCCACAUUUAAGUGAAAACGAGACUUCUUGUAUAGGGGAUGAAUAAUACAAUUAAAAUAUGUAAAAAAUUUAAAUGAUUAAAUUAAUAAGCAUAUUCUAAAUAUUUGAAUGGAAACAUUUUUAAUGAUUAAAUCUGGUUCUUAUUUUGUUUAUUAUUUUUUUCUAUUCAAACAUUUUAUAAAGAUAACAGAUGUAAUUGUAUAUGAUGUUGUUAAAUAUGUUUCUAAUACAUUGAAGAGAAUUUGUAUGCCCUACACACAAUUUUCCCUCUAUUUGCACUC